UACGGAGGGUGCAAGCGUUAUCCGGAUUCACUGGGUUUAAAGGGUGCGUAGGAGGGCAGGUAAGUCAGUGGUGAAAUCCCCGUGCUUAACAUGGGAACUGCCGUUGAUACUAUCUGUCUUGAAUAUGGUGGAGGUGAGCGGAAUAUGUCAUGUAGCGGUGAAAUGCUUAGAUAUGACAUAGAACACCAAUUGCGAAGGCAGCUCGCUACACCUAUAUUGACUCUGAGGCACGAAAGCGUGGGGAUCAAACAGG
rnacentral:rRNA from 1 species